GCUCUGGUAGCUCAGUUGGAAGAGCGGUGCCGAAUGAUAUGUGAAUCUGACAGUUGUGUUUAAGGCACGGCACAUGUUCGAAUCAUGCCCAGAGUG